ACUCCUACGGGAGGCAGCAGUGGGAAUAUUGGACAAUGGGGGAAACCCUGAUCCAGCCAUGCCGCGUGUGUGAAGAAGGCCUUCGGGUUGUAAAGCACUUUAAGCGAGGAGGAAUGGUAUACGGUUAAUACCCGUAUGCAGUGACGUUACUCGCAGAAUAAGCACCGGCUAACUCUGUGCCAGCAGCCGCGGUAAUACAGAGGGUGCAAGCGUUAAUCGGAAUUACUGGGCGUAAAGCGCGCGUAGGCGGUUGUAUAAGUUGGAUGUGAAAUCCCCGAGCUCAACUUGGGAAUUGCAUUCAAAACUGUACGGCUAGAGUGUGGGAGAGGAAGGUAGAAUUCCAGGUGUAGCGGUGAAAUGCGUAGAUAUCUGGAGGAAUACCGAUGGCGAAGGCAGCCUUCUGGCCUAACACUGACGCUGAGGUGCGAAAGCAUGGGGAGCAAACAGGAUUAGAUACCCUGGUAGGUCAGU
rnacentral:rRNA from 1 species